AACGAACGCUGGCGGCGCGUCUUAAGCAUGCAAGUCGAACGGCAAGAGAGGAGCUUGCUUCUCUCCUAGAGUGGCGGACUGGUGAGGAACACGUGGGUAAUCUACCCUUAAGAUGGGGAUAGCUGCUAGAAAUAGCAGGUAAUACCGAAUACACUCGGCAUAUCACAAGAGGUGUUGAGGAAAGGAAGCUACGGCUUCGCUUGAGGAUGAGCUUGCGUCCCAUUAGCUAGUUGGUGAGGUAAAGGCCCACCAAGGCGACGCUGGGUAUCCGGCCUGAGAGGGUGAACGGACACAUUGGGACUGAGAUACGGCCCAAACUCCUACGGGAGGCAGCAGCUAAGAAUAUUCCGCAAUGGACGGAAGUCUGACGGAGCGACGCCGCGUGGAUGAAGAAGGCUGAAAAGUUGUAAAAUCCUUUUGUUGAUGAAGAAUAAGGGUGAGAGGGAAUGCUCAUCUGAUGACGGUAAUCGACGAAUAAGCCCCGGCUAAUUACGUG
rnacentral:rRNA from 1 species